UCAAGCUAAUAAGGGCUAAUGGUGGAUACCUAGGCACACAGAGGCGAAGAAGGACGUGGUUACCGACGAAAUGUUCCGGGGAGUUGGAAGCAGACUAAGAGCCGGAAAUGUCCGAAUGGGGCAACCCUAAAUACUACCUGUUGAAUAUAUAGACAGGAAAGAGCCAACCUGGCGAAUUGAAACAUCUUAGUAGCCAGAGGAAAAGAAAUCAACUAGAGAUUCCCCUAGUAGUGGUGAGCGAAAGGGGAAAAGCCUAAACCAAGAGGUUUACCUUUUGGGGUCGUGGGACAGCAACAACGAAUCUAGAGACUAGACGAAGCAGCUAAAUACUGCACCAGAGGAGGUGAAAGUCCUGUAGUCGAAAGUUAAAGGAUAGUAGCUGAAUCCCGAGUAGUACGGAGCACGUGAAAUUCCGUAUGAAUCAGCGAGGACCAUCUCGUAAGGCUAAAUACUACUGUGUGACCGAUAGCGAACAAGUACCGCGAGGGAAAGGUGAAAAGAACCCCGGAAGGGGAGUGAAACAGAACAUGAAACCAUUAGCUUACAAGCAGUGGGAGUCCGAUUAAACGGAUGACCGCGUGCCUGUUGAAGAAUGAGCCGGCGACUUAUAGGUACUGGUAGGUUAAAGCGAGAAUGCUGGAGCCAAAGGGAAACCGAGUCUGAAGAGGGCGAUAAUCAGUAUUUAUAGACCCGAACCCUGGUGAUCUAACCAUGUCCAGGAUGAAGCUUGGGUAACACCAAGUGGAGGUCCGAACCGACCGAUGUUGAAAAAUCGGCGGAUGAGGUGUGGUUAGGGGUGAAAUGCCAAUCGAACCAGGAGCUAGCUGGUUCUCCCCGAAAUGUGUUGAGGCGCAGCGGUAAUGAUUAAAGUCGGGGGGUAAAGCACUGUUUCGGUGCGGGCUGGGAGACCGGUACCAAAUCGAGACAAACUCAGAAUACCCGAUGAACACAUUGCCAGUGAGACGGUGGGGGAUAAGCUUCAUCGUCAAGAGGGAAACAGCCCAGACCACCAGCUAAGGUCCCCAAAUCAUCACUAAGUGAUAAAGGAGGUGGGAUUGCACAGACAACUAGGAGGUUUGCCUAGAAGCAGCCACCCUUGAAAGAGUGCGUAAUAGCUCACUAGUCAAGCGAUCCUGCGCCGAAAAUGAAAGGGGCUAAGUGAUGUACCGAAGCUGUGGGAUUAGAAAUAAUCGGUAGGGGAGCGUUCCGUAGUAGUGAGAAGCAGUAGCGGCAAGCAGCUGUGGACGAGACGGAAGUGAGAAUGUCGGCUUGAGUAGCGCAAACAUUGGUGAGAAUCCAAUGCCCCGAAACCCUAAGGGUUCCAGAGCCAGGUUCGUCCACUCUGGGUUAGUCGGGACCUAAGGCGAGGUCGAAAGGCGUAGUCGAUGGACACAGGGUCAACAAUCCCUGACUAACGUAUGGGAGCAUUGCUAGGGACGCAUGAAAGAUAACCAUACCCUGAUUGGUUUGGGAGACGGUUACGACCGUUGCAUGGUGAAGGAUAGUGCCAAGAAAAGCUAGUAAUGUGAUGAACAUAUGUUACCCGUACCCGAAACCGACACAGGUAGGGAGGUUGAGAAUACCAAGGGGCGCGAGAUAACUCUCUCUAAGGAACUCGGCAAAAUGGCCCCGUAACUUCGGAAGAAGGGGUGCCCACGAGAGUGGGUCGCAGUGAAGAGAUCCAGGCGACUGUUUACCAAAAACACAGGUCUCCGCAAACUCGAAAGAGGACGUAUGGGGGCUGACGCCUGCCCAGUGCCGGAAGGUUAAGGAAGUUGGUCAGUGGAAACAUGAAGCUGACGACCGAAGCCCCGGUGAACGGCGGCCGUAACUAUAACGGUCCUAAGGUAGCGAAAUUCCUUGUCGGG
rnacentral:rRNA from 1 species